rnacentral:rRNA from 1 species
UACGUAGGGGCGAGCGUUGUCCGGAAUGAUUGGGCGUAAAGGGCGCGCAGGCGGCCUGUCAAGUCAGUAGUGGAAGUCCAUUUUUCAAGGAUGGAAGUGCUAUAGAAACUGAUGGGCUUGAGUGCAGGAGAGGUUAUCGGAAUUCCCGGUGUAGCGGUGAAAUGCGUAGAGAUCGGGAGGAACACCAGUGGCGAAGGCGGGUAACUGGACUGCAACUGACGCUGAGGCGCGAAAGUGUGGGGAGCAAACAGGAUUAGAUACCCCCGUAGU